CACGUAGGGCGCAAGCGUUGUCCGGAAUUACUGGGCGUAAAGAGCUCGUAGGUGGUUUGUCGCGUUGUUCGUGAAAACUCACAGCUCAACUGUGGGCGUGCGGGCGAUACGGGCAGACUGGAGUACUGCAGGGGAGACUGGAAUUCCUGGUGUAGCGGUGGAAUGCGCAGAUAUCAGGAGGAACACCGGUGGCGAAGGCGGCAUCCGGGACCGGCAUUGACGCUGAGGCGCGAAAGCUAGGGGAGCAAACGGG
rnacentral:rRNA from 1 species